rnacentral:rRNA from 1 species
CCUACGGGGGGCAGCAGUGAGGAAUAUUGGUCAAUGGGCGCGAGCCUGAACCAGCCAAGUAGCGUGAAGGAUGACUGCCCUACGGGUUGUAAACUUCUUUUAUCAAGGAAUAAAGUGAGGCACGUGUGCCUUUUUGUAUGUACUUUAUGAAUAAGGCUCGGCUAACUCCGUGCCAGCAGCCGCGGUAAUAAGGAGGAUCCGAGCGUUAUCCGGGUUUAUUGGGUUUAAAGGGAGCGUAGAUGGGUUGUUAAGUCAGUUGUGAAAGUUUGCGGCUCAACCGUAAAAUUGCAAUUGAUACUGGCAGCCUUGAGUACAGUUGAGGUAGGCGGAAUGCGUGGUGUAGCGGUGAAAUGCUUAGAUAUCACGAAGAACUCCGAUUGCGAAGGCAGCUUACUAAACUGCCACUGACAUUGAUGCUCGAAAGUGUGGGUAUCAAACAGGAUUAGAUACCCGUGUAGUC